AAGGCGAAUGGUGAAGAAGCAUUUUGGCCAUGUCAAGAAGAAGUCGAAGAGAAGUUCCUCUGGUUCUUUAUGCUCAUCAAGCCUGAUAGAGAGCAAGAAAAUGACAACUCACGAAAGGUACCUUGUUCAAAGUGUGAAAAGUAAGUAUCAAAAGAACCGCCAAAAAAAAAAAUGAUGAACUGGAAAUUGCAUGCCUCGUGAAAAUAACGCUUAAAGAUUUCAAUACGAGGCAAAAAGAUGGUUUGAGGAUGUUUUUAGUUGAGACCAAGAAAGUGUGGGAAAAGGAAUCAGGAAUUUGACAAGUGGAGCAACCAACCACAACGUCAAAAAUAUCAAUCACCUCUGCGGGAAACAUGGGAAAAGCUGCAUGCCUCAAAUCUCCCAACUUAAACGCCAGCCCCAGCGUCGGAGAUAAAUUUCAAUAGCUUGAUGCCCUUUGCCUGCUUUAGCAUCACAAUCCUGUCCCAACAAAUUUUGAUUCCAAGUAAACAUAAGAUUGAUACACAUGCUGUUAUCUCCUAGGUUCAUAACAGGUUGCUUUAUGCUGUGAACUUGUAUUCAAUCGCCUAAUUCUGGUGUUCUUCACAAACAGGGGAUCGAUGAGUCUUCACCCUGAUUUCCUGCAAUCGCCAGGAGUAACAUAUUUCUUGAAAUUGACCAGAAACUGAAUUCCUCUAGCGUCUACAUGCUAUCCUCCACCAAUAAAAAUUGUCCAUAUAUGGCAUUUAUGUCUUCUUGAACAUUCAACUCUGUCUCAUAAGUCAUGAAAUGAUUUUGGGAUAACGAAUAGCUUGGUAUUUGGGAGGAAGUCAUUUUAGCGCUCAAAUUAUUGCUGUAAAUGUACACGGGGAACCGAGAGACGGGGAGGGUUUGGUGUUGUUCAUCUUUGAUUCUUCGAACUGCACGUAAAAUGAUUGUUAUAUAUGAUAAUUGCAUUAAGUUACAUGUAAGCUCGAAUAAGCCCAUUUUCUGAGCAAAUAACUGCCCAACACAGCUACUUAUAUAACCUAAAAUAUGUAGAGAAAAUCAAUGUUGAGAAUUAUCUUUUUUCGCAUGCAGAAAACCUUUAACUCAAAAUAUCUUGGACUUCAACCUUCCAUAGUGUCACAAAAAAGAAAAAAAAAAUUCUGUAAUCACUUCACGGUUAUUAAGAUAACUGUGCAUGGUGAACCAUGAGCAUCAAAAAUUCCAACCAAACCAAUACUGAGCCAAAGAACUACCUCCAAAUCAGCAGCCUUUUCCAACUCGUGUUGGUUCUGAAGGCUACACUCGAAAGUGAACGAGAACUACCUCCAAAUAAGCAGCCUUUCCCAACUUGUGUAGCUUCUGACAGUUCUACUCAAAAGUAAACGAGAACUAAAUAUCAUACAAACAUCAAAAAAAUUCACCAAGCAAAUGCACUACUAAGGUAAAUAAUAAAGACAAAGAUUGCUGAAACAUGCAAUCUCUGACAAAAAGAUCAAUGAGAUACAAAGAGAAAAAAAUUCAUGAGUUUACAUAGAUUGCGCUGUAGGACAUGGUGGAAGUACAAGACAGUUGUCCAAAGACAGAAUUGUACCCUCUGAGGUAGAACAUUCAAUUGUAUGGCAACUCUGCAAUUCCAUGUCUAUAACACUAUCAUGGUUCAUAGUGUUACAAGUCCUGAAUGCACAGACCUGAUUAUUGAGGCAAAAAGUCACAGCUUAGUAUAAUAAUCUGUUCUUUGAUACAUUAUUGAGUUUCCACUCAAGAAGUGAUCAUCGAGUAGAAGUAAUUUUGUUUGUGGAAGUCAUUCAAUGAAUCAGUAUCCAUGUUUCAAUUUCACUCUAGAACAGGAAAGCCAAUUACUAAUAUGUGCACUUAUGAUGUUUUUAUUUCUUUUCAGCUUUCUUUGGUUCUUUAAAAUGAACUUGCCUUCUGCUUCAUCACUUGGAAAUCUAGUGGCCAUUCAUAAAAUUUUAUCUACUUUCUAUUCUCCUCCUUGAAAUUUGAGAUUUCAAAUGUCAGAAGCCCUUUUUCAGCCCUUUGACCUCAAAAAACUGGUAAUUUCUUCUGGUUAACUGCAAAUGCUUAUACCCAAAAUUAUUCGAUACUAAAGUAACAAUUUACUAAUACUGUGAUAUAUCUCAUGCCGGCUGCCUUUAUGUUGGACUAUCAUAGUCCUAUAGGUGUCCUAUGCCACCUAAGGGCCUGACACCUAUCUAGAAGCAGUGUCGAGAAGUCUCAAAUGCAUGCUUGGACCAACUAUAACAUGGAAGUAAAUGAAACAAGUAAAACUAAACCUGCCAUUAAUUGUCAAGCCAAGGGCUAACCUAGGUUGGCUGUAUGGCAAUUGAUUAACUCAAAAGGCUAUGCGAGAAAGAAUUGCAAAAAGUUUAGGAAAAGGGGAAAAAGAAACAUAGAUUAAGACGUUCUCAAAAGGAUAAAAGCUCCUUUCUGAUGUAGAUUUACUUCCUGGUAAGUGAAUAGAUUAUAAAAUGAUAUGUGCAUGUACACAAUGAUAGAAUCUUAUAGAAUGCAUUAAUAUGGACUGUAAAUAUGGAUACUUCUAUAACAUAACUCAACACCAGCACAAUUUUUUCAAAGAAAUGACAUGGCAUAUCAGGAAGAAACUAUAUCUUAACUCUAUAGCAAACAAAUAGCCUUAACACGAUCUGCAGUUUCCCACGCAUUUUUUAGAGAUAAGGCUGCAGAACACCUUUAUACAUCUCCUCAACAUGAGAACUUCACUAGCUAACUAGUCAAGGAGGAAUUCAACCAAUAUAACUGGUAAAGAAGAUGGGAUAAGUUUCAUACAUUUGGGAAUUUUGAUAACUAUUAAAAAAUAAAACACAGCAAUUAUGCCCAAACACAAGAAGCACAACCAAAGAACUAGGUAAAUUACGCCAUCCAAGAUGAGAUAAUUACUGUAUAUAGAACUGAACUACAAGAAUACAUCCUGAUUUUUCUCUAAUUAUUCCCUACUAAUUCAAGAGGUACUCCUCAACAUCCACGGGAUUCAUGACACCAAAAAUGUGAGAAAAGUUUACAGCUUUUUUACAAUUUCCUCAGACCAUAGUAUGAUUCCUGGCAUGAUAUAAUUGAUAUACUAGCAUGAGAAAAAUUAACAAAUAUCAAACUCCAACUGCUAAAGCCAAGCUUUUUUCAAUUAUAGUAUGAUAUAAUUGAUAUAUCUAUCUCUUUCCUUUCUUCCCUACUAAAUUUAAACUAAUAAACCCAUUUUGAAAUUCAAUUGGAAUUGAUAACAUCGAAUCUGUUCUCAAAUGUGUAUUGCUGGUAUAUUGUCCAUUUUUUAAAAGACUUAUCAUCGGUCUUCCAAAUUAUUUGAUUCCUUUGCUUAUAACCAGAAAAUUUUCAUUCAUAUUCCAAUUACUUAAUAAUUACACUUUGCUUGCCUUACGGAAUCAUAGAAAUCUAGACAUUUAAACUGCCUUGUUAAAUUACCAAAAAUCCCAACCACUCAAAGCUUGCCUUCAUAAAUCACAAGAAGAAACCUCAGCACGAUGGGAUUAAUUGCUAAAAUUCAGUUUUAAUUCCAAAACCAAACUUAAAAUUCUUGCUGCAUCCAAUGCAUCUUAAGUUGUAGCUAGCUAAAAAAGCUAAGAAAUAACAUGGCUUUAUUUUUAAAAUUGGACAGUGGAUCAAAAUGGAGGCAAGAAAUUUAUGCAAGUGCAUGUAUCCAUCGUACCAAAACAUAACUAGAUAGAGGAUGGUUAUCAAGUAAUUCAAGCAAGAGCCUCUAAGACUUUCAGGAGUGAGUGCGAAGGAUGAAAAGCAUCCAGCGCAAGUGCUUAUUUGUCCAUUUCAACAUUAAUGGGAAUAUCUAUGUGUAAACUUUAACAGAAAAGGAAAAAAUGAACAAAAAACUCUCCUUUUCUUUAUUUUCCACACACUAAAUAUGCUUACAAGGUAGGCAUAUAUAGGACAACCCUAUCAUAGUUCUGCCACCACUUAAGGUAAUAGAACCAUGAUUUUAGGGAUUACAUAAUCAACUCAUAUCCUAUCUAUUCAAACUUGAUUGAUCAUAAGCAAUAAAAUCCCAUAAUUAUGGGAGGUAAUUAUGGAAGAUAAUAUCUCCCAUAAUCAUAGGAGAUAAUAUCUUCGACACCCCCCUCAAGUUGGUGCGUAUAUAUUUAUCAUGUCCAACUUGCUUGUAAGAAGUUCAAAAUUUGGUCUGAGGAGUCCUUUGGUGAGAAUGUCAGCUAUUUGCUGAGCUGAUGGAACGAAUGGCAUGCAGAUAAUUCCUCCUUCAAGUUUCUCUUUUAUGAAGUGGCGGUCAAUCUCAAUAUGUUUGGUUCUAUCAUGUUGCACAGGAUUAUGAGCUAUGCUAAUUGCCGCCUGGUUAUCACAAUAGAGCCUCAUUGGAAGUUCAAUAGGUCUUUUCAGCUCCUCUAAAACUCUCUUCAGCCAUAACAUCUCACACACACCAUGAGCCAUAGCUCGGUACUCUGCCUCUGCACUACUACGAGCUACAACACUUUGUUUCUUACUUCUCCAAGUAACCAAAUUGCCCCAUACAAAGGUACAAUACCCGAGGUUGAUCUUCUAUCAAUGACUGAUCCUGCCCAAUCAGCAUCUGUAUAAGCUUCAAUGGUCUUUCGAUCUCCUCUUUUAAAGAACAAUCCCUUUCCUGGAGUACUUUUUAAGUACCUCAGAAUUCGAUAUACUGCAUCAAGGUGCUCUUCAUAUGGAGAAUGCAUAAACUGGCUCACAACACUCACUGAAAAAGCUAUAUCAGGACGAGUGUGAGCCAAGUAAAUUAGCUUGCCUACUAACUUUUGGUAUCGAGCAGUAUCAACUGGUGUUCCAUCUUUUAUAUCUGCUAACUUGUGAUUCGGAUCCAUAGGAGUGUCUGCAGGUCGACAUCCACUCAUCCCUGUUUCCUUUAAAAGAUCCAAAACAUACUUGCGUUGGGACACAACAAUGCCCUUCUUGGACCGAGCUACCUCCAUCCCUAAGAAAUAUCGUAGUGUUCCCAAAUCUUUGAUUUCAAAGCUAGAAGCAAGACUUUUCUUCAGCCGUUCCAUCUCAAUUAAGUCAUCUCCUGUGAGGAUGAUAUCAUCCACGUACACAAUGAGUACUGCUAUCUUCCCGUCCUUGGAGUGUUUAACAAACAUGGUGUGAUCACUCUGAGCUUGGGUAUAGCCUUGAUUCUUUACCGACCUAGUAAAUUUUUCAAACCAGGCCCUAGGAGAUUGUUUGAGACCAUAUAACGAUUUUCUUAGCUUGCAAACUCUAGACUGAAACUUCCCUUCAAAUCCAGGGGGAGACUCCAUGUACACCUCUUCCUCCAGAUCACCAUUUAAAAAUGCAUUCUUGACAUCAAGUUGUUGGAGCGGCCAAUCAAGGUUUACUGCUAUUGAGAGAAGCACCCUAACAGUGUUUAAUUUUGCCACUGGAGCAAAAGUUUCAAGAUAAUCGAUCCCGUAGGUUUGAGUGAACCCUUUAGCCACCAAUCGAGCUUUGUACCGUUCCAAUGUCCCAUCGGAAUUAUACUUGAUGGUAAAGACCCAUUUACAUCCUACUGUCCUUUUCCCUUGUGGCAGGUUUGUUACUUCCCAUGUUUGAUUCUUCUCAAGAGCAUACAUCUCUUCUUCAAUAGCCUUUCUCCACUCUGGAACUUGUAAUGCUUCCUGUACAUUCUUUGGAAUUUCCACAGAAGAAAGUUGUGAAGUAAAUGUCAAGAAGGUAGGGGAUAACUUUUCAUAAGAGACAUAGUUAGUCAUAGGGUGUUUGGUACAAGAACGCACUCCCUUUCGAAGUGCAAUAGGAAGAUCCAAAUCAGCAAUCUUUGAAUCAGAGGAAACUUUAUCUAAUGACUCAAAAACAUUAAAUUCUGUCCUAGGUUCGGAUUCCUUGUCGUGAAGAGAAGGGGGAGCUUUAUCUUUUCCUCGAUGAUUUUUCCGGACAUAGGUUUUCAAGGUUUUUUCAGUUACAUUCCCAUCUCUUUCACUAAGAGAAUUCGACUCUGUUAUUGGCACUAAAGACAAGAGAUCCUCUUCUAAUCCCUGAUCAAUUUUUUCACGUUUUUCAAAAUCCUUUUGACGGGCAAAUUGAAGAGUGUCAUUUGUUUUUUCAGGAUUAUUAUCUUGAAAAGAUUCUUGUUGAGGAAAUUGUGCUGCAGAUUCUUCUAAAAAAUCAGAAAAAUCAAUUCUCCUAUCAACAAAAUUUUGAUCAGGAAUUUGAUUUUCAAUACGAAAAACAUCAUCAUCUUCUACAAGUUCUUCUACAUGCCGAGUCCCCCCCUGAAGAGGAUCUCCAAAGAAAGGUUUAUCUUCAAAAAAUGUUACAUCCAUGGUUACAAACAUUUUUUUCGAAAUGGGGUCAAAGCAUUUAUACCCCUUUUGCGUGGGUGCAUAUCCAACAAAAAUGCAUUUUCUUGCUCGAGGGUCUAACUUACUUCGACCUUGUUCAUGAUUGUGAACAAAGGAUAUGCACCCAAACACCUUUAAUGAGACUUCAUAUGUUAAUCGAGACAUGGGAUAAAUGGUUUUGAAAAAAUUCAGAGGAGUUUGGAAAUUCAAGGUUCUUGAGGGCAUUCUGUUUAUGAGAUAUGUAGCAGUUAAAAUUGCUUCGCCCCAUAGAUAUUUAGGAACAUUUCUUGAAAAAAGUAAUGCCCUCGCCACUUCUAAAAGAUGUUUAUUUUUUCUUUCAGCUACCCCAUUCUGUUGUGGGGUAUCAUUGCAGGAGCUUUGAUGCACAAUCCCUUUUUCAAGAAAAAAACUUCCCAAAAUUUUAUUGAAAUAUUCUUUUCCAUUGUCACUCCGAACAAUUUUGACUUUUUCUUGAAAUUGUGUCAAAACCAUGCUGUAGAAUUUUUGAAACACACUUGCAACCUCUGAUUUCUCUCUUAACAAAUACACCCAACAAACUCUUGUGUGAUCAUCGAUGAAUGUAACAAACCAUUUUUUUCCAGAUGAAGUUGAAAUUCUAGAGGGACCCCAAACAUCAGUAUGUAAUAGAAAAAACGGUUUUGAGGGCUGAUAAGGAUGUAUAGAAAAUGUAGACCGAUGAUGUUUAGCCAAUUCGCAGAUUUCACAUUGAAAAGAAGAUGAAUCUUUAUUCUUAAACAAAUCUGGAAAUAAGUAUUUCAUGUAAUAAAAACUAGGAUGUCCUAGUCUAAAGUGCCAUAACAUAAUCUCUUUAUUACUAGUAAUAGAGACAGACCCGUAACAUGUGUUUUUGAUUGGUGUUGUCAUAUCUGAUCCAUCUUCAAGGAAGUAAAGUCCCCCAUUUUCUCUAGCACAUCCAAUCAUCCUCCCCGUGGUCAGUUCCUGAAACUCACAAAAAGAGGGGAAAAAAUUAAUCCGACACAUGAGAUCCCUAGUUAAUUUACUUAUGGACAGCAAAUUGCAUGAUAACUUUGGAACAUGAAGAACUCUAUGAAGUGUUAGAGUAGGAGAGAUGACAACGGAACCUAUGCCAGCUAUGACGGAUAAUGAUCCGUCAGCAACCUUGACCCUUUUAUUGCCUGCACAUGGACUGUAGGUAGAAAAUAAUUGUGACACACUAGUCAUAUGGUCAGUGGCCCCAGAAUCAAUAACCCAUAUAACCCGUGGACAAGAUGCAUUUGAUGUUUUACAUGAAAGAGCAAUAGUAAAAGGUUUACCAUUUUUAGCAAAAGAACAGAAAGGAGUGAAGCUUUUUGGCUCAGUGACUGAAAAUUGUGGAGACUUAAAGAGUUUGUACAGUUGGCUUAAUUGUUCCUUUGUGAAGGCUGGUGUCUCAAAGUCAGUUUGUUGCUUUUGAGAAUCCUCAUUCACAGUCUGCAACACCUUGCUAUCACCUCCAUUUUUCUUCUUGAAAUUCGAUGGUUUCCCAUGUAAUUUCCAGCAUGUGUCCUUUGUGUGCCACGACUUUUUACAGUGUUCACACCAAGGCUUCCUUCUUUUAUCCCCGUCCAAAUCUGUCCCCUUAGAAACCAAUGCUGAAGUCUCAACUUCAUCCUCUGCCUUGGACUUUGGUGAUGACUUCAGCAUCACCUUACGCCUUGAUUCUUCUCUUCUGACUUCAGAAAAUACUUCACGAAUGGAGGGGAGAGGCUUCCUGCCCAAAAUACGACCUCGCACCUCAUCGAGUUCUUGAUUUAGUCCAGCCAAGAAGACAUAGACUCUGUCGUUCUCCUCCCGUUUCUUGUAUCGAACACUGUCUGCACGGCAGUCCCAUUCAUCCUCAUAACAAAGAUCCAAUUCCUGCCAUAAAGUUACCAUCUGAUUGUAAUAGGUUGUAACAUCUCUAUCUUCUUGUCUUGAUUUCCACAAUUUCGUCUUGAGAUUGAAAAUUUGAGACGAAUUCUCUAUAUCGGAAUACAUAUCCCGGACAGCGUCCCACACAUCCUUGGCUGUGGGCAGAAAUAAGUGUGGCUUUCCUAUCGCUGGUUCCAUAGAGUUUAUCAACCAAGCGAUAACUAGAGAGUUCUCUGAAUGCCAUCUCUUCAAAUUGGGAUCUUCAGCAGCUGGUUGUUGAAUUUCUCCAGUAAGGUGGCCGAGUUUACCUCUGCCAUCGAUAGCCAGCUUUACAGAUUGAGCCCAUUCCAGAUAAUUGGAACCAUUUAAUUUAUGAACGGUUAUUUGUAGGGAAGAAGAAUUUGAAGCGGAGUAAUCUGUAGUUUGGAUAACUACUGAAGACGAGGAUGAGUCUUCUCUUGUGUGAGCAGUCGAUCCAGUCAUGGCUGCUCGGUAGUUCAUGGCAGGAAUUGGUACAGAGCCGGAGCUCUGAUACCAUGUAAACUUUAACAGAAAAGGAAAAAAUGAACAAAAAACUCUCCUUUUCUUUAUUUUCCCACACACUAAAUAUGCUUACAAGGUAGGCAUAUAUAGGACAACCCUAUCAUAGUUCUGCCACCACUUAAGGUAAUAGAACCAUGAUUUUAGGGAUUACAUAAUCAACUCAUAUCCUAUCUAUUCAAACUUGAUUGAUCAUAAGCAAUAAAAUCCCAUAAUUAUGGGAGGUAAUUAUGGAAGAUAAUAUCUCCCAUAAUCAUAGGAGAUAAUAUCUUCGACACUAUGUAUAUUGAUGAAUGAAGGGACAUGUGCUAAAAGUUCAAGGAAUCAAACAGUUCUUGUGAAAACUCAAAAUUUUAGGACAUCAUCAAGAAGACAGCAUGACUGAUGUCAUAUAGGAAUAUCCCUCUUUCCUAAAUUAGAUUUCUUCCUUUUAAAUGGUCCAUCACAAAACAAUAUCUAUUUCUCCUUAAAUUACAAAAUAUAUUUUCCUCUCCUUAAAACUAAGCUGAUUAAUACAUUGAAUCCACACUUUUUCCAGAAUCCAAACUCUCUCAAUAGUUGCAUCCAGUCAGAACUAACAAACAUGAAGUAUAAGAUAAGAAAAAUCUCAGUUGUUGAGGAAGUAAAUCGAUUCUUUUGAAUAUCAAUGAAAGAAACCACAUAACUUAGAUACAUCUCACUUACUGUAAUAGGAGACAAAGGAAACCCAUAACUUGAAAAUCUAUCUGAAAACCAGUAUAUGGAAUGUCUUCAAUUCUAUAUGAAUUACACUAGCCUAGAUUUUCUUGCUAGAUUUACUAUGCCAGGUUAAGCAAAGAGCUCUAUUACCAGCUCUAUAUUGAAAUGUAAGAGGCAAAGAGUUCUAAUCCAUCUAUUACCAGCUCUAUAUAAACCAAACCAAGUAAUUUAGUACAACAAACUCAAGACAUGCAAUUAUGACAAGAAAGAAGAGAAAGUAUGUUGCAAUUCCAAAUAAGAGCCAAAGAAAAGCAACUCUCAAGAAAUGUAGAGAUUGCUUGUUCAGAAAAGCAAAACAGCUUUCAACCUUGUGCGAUGUUGAAGUGGGUGUAAUCGUCCAGGAUCAAGAGAAAAAGGAUGUUUUUGUCUGGCCAUCACACCAUGAAGUUGAAGAAAAGCUUAUGAGAUUCCUAAAUGUACCGGAUAUUGAUAGGACAGGAAAUUUUCUACACAUGAAAGCUUCCUUACAGGAACAGUGAGCAAGAUUAGUUGAUCACACAAGGAAAGCUCACGAGAAGAAUGAUAAGAAAGAAAGGGAAUACCUCACGCAUAAACUCAUGAAAGGUAAGAUUACUAUCAAUGAACUUGAUAUGAUGCAAACAAAUGGAUUGAUUCAAUUGAUGCUUGAUAAGAUGAACCAGUGCAACAGAAGGAUCGCACAACUGGACAUGUUAGAAGAACAGGAGAACCAGUCACUUUCAACAGCCAAUCAACAUCUUCCCUCUCUUGUUCAGAUGAGAGGACAGAAUAAAGCUGGUGGAGUUUGGCGAGUGGCGUGAAUGCAAUUUUCUCAGCUCCAGAAUUGAUUGAAAGCU
rnacentral:lncRNA from 1 species